rnacentral:rRNA from 1 species
CAAUAGCGUAUAUUAAAGUUGUUGCAGUUAAAAAGCUCGUAGUUGGAGUUCAGGGUGAGCUCAGCUGGUCGGCCUUAUGGGUCAGAACUGGUUGACUCUCUCUUGUUUGUGGGUCCCGCCGGGAGUUAACUCUCUCGAUGUGGAGUCCACAUCGUUUACCUUGAAAAAAUUAGAGUGUUCAAAGCAGGCGUUUGCUUGAAUAUAUUAGCAUGGAAUAAUGGAAUAGGACGCUGGUUCUAUUUUGUUGGUUUUGAGAACCAGAGUAAUGAUUAAUAGGGACAGUUGGGGGCGAUUCAUAUUUCUAUUGUUCAGAGGUGAAAUUACUUGGAUUUAUUGAAAGAUGAACUUCUUGCGAAAGCAUUUGUCCAAGGAGUGUUUUUCUAUUAAUCAAGAACGAAAGUUAGGGAGUCGAAGAUGAUUAGAUACCAU